GAGGGCAAGUCUGGUGCCAGCACCCGCGGUAAUUCCGGCUCUAGUAGCGUAUAUUAAAGUUGUUGCAGUUAAAAAGCUCGUAGUCUGACUUCGGGCUGGGCUGUGAAGGCUCACCGCAAGGUGGGACGGAUAGCCUGGCCUUACCCUCUGAUGUGCUCUCUGCUCUUAACUGAGUGGAUCUGUUGCACAGAGGCGUUUACCUUGANCAAAUUGAGGUGUUCAAGGCAGGCAUAAUCGCUCGUACACGUUAGCAUGGGAUAAUGAAAUAGGGCCUUGGGUUCGCUGUUGCCGGUUGGUGAGCCCGGGCAAUGAUCAACAGGGGCGGUCGGGGUGCCUCAUAUGCAGGCGCUAGAGGUGAAAUUCUUGGACCGUCUGCAGAUGCCCAGAUGCGAAAGCGUUGCACCAGUACGUCCCCAUUGAUCAAGAACGAAAGUUAAGGGAGCGAAGACGAUCAGAUACCGUCGUAGUCUUAACCCUAAACGAUACCGACCAGGGAUCGAGGAUAGUCCCAUGGUUGACUCCUUCGGCGCCUUACGGGAAAC
rnacentral:rRNA from 1 species